GGCGAGGUGGCGGAGCGGCCAAACGCGACUGCCUUGAAAACAGUUGUCCGGGCAACCGGACCAAGGGUUCGAAUCCCUUUCUCGCCG
rnacentral:tRNA from 3 species